rnacentral:rRNA from 1 species
ACUCCUACGGGAGGCAGCAGUGGGGAAUAUUGCACAAUGGGCGCAAGCCUGAUGCAGCAACGCCGCGUGAGCGAUGAAGGCCUUCGGGUCGUAAAGCUCUGUCUUCAAGGAAGAAUAAAUGACGGUACUUGAGGAGGAAGCCCCGGCUAACUACGUGCCAGCAGCCGCGGUAAUACGUAGGGGCAAGCGUUAUCCGGAAUCACUGGGCGUAAAGGGUGCGUAGGCGGUUUUUCAAGUCAGAAGUGAAAGGCUAUGGCUCAACCAUAGUAAGCUUUUGAAACUGUUAAACUUGAGUGCAGGAGAGGAAAGUGGAAUUCCUAGUGUAGAGGUGAAAUUCGUAGAUAUUAGGAGGAACACCAGUGGCGAAGGCGACUUUCUGGACUGUAACUGACGCUGAGGCACGAAAGCGUGGGGAGCGAACAGGAUUAGAUACCCUGGUAGCGACUGA